GGACCUCGUAGCAAGACAGCGUUGUUUCUAUCAGUUCCUGCUUUGCCUUGACCAUCAUUGUUUUUAGGGUUCGUGUUUGAACCAGUCCAUCUGGAAGAACAAAGUUUAGUAUUUACAAGGAUGAUAAAUGUUUAAUGUCGUGGGAGACCCCGGUACAGCUUCUUCUUGGUCCAUAUCAUACUUAGAAGCAACAUCUAGCUGUGUUUCUCGUUGUCCCCUUGGUGUGUUGAGUGAUGCAUUCACACUGGAGUCCCAGCCAUCAAAUUCGCCAGUUGAAAUGUUGUAUCUAUUGAAUUCAAUUGUGUAAUUAUAGGUAUUCUUUUGGCAACACACAUUCAUAACGGCCCUUCACAUUUUCACUUUCUCUUUCAUAAAAUGGACAUCGGGUUGCAUCAUUGGUGAGGACUGCAAUAUCCUAAGAAAAUCCGGUUUGGUUAUUGCAACUGAUACAAGCAUAUGCAUGAUAUUUUAAAUGUAUAUAGAUGUUUUAUGUGGCUGGCUUACAUGUGUUUGACAAUCUUACAGACCAUCAUGGCAAAUAAUAAUUAGGAAAUAAAAAAUUUUAAACCUUCCAAGG